CAUAUGGAAGUCCUGCCUUACCUAUUUCGUGUACGUGCCAAUCAAUUUCCUGAUAUUUUUUAUCCUAGUUUUGAGGUGCUAGAUGGAGGAUUUUGGGUAUACAUUGAGCAAUGUCAUGGAAAGUUCAUCGACAAUCCAUCUAAGUUCCAAUUCUCAUACGCAAUGCAAGAAUAUGUGCUGGGGAUUCGAAUGAAGGAGUCCAAGCCAUGGAAAUACGUAAAUCAUUUGUUGAUUCCACUAAACAAGCGCAACAUACAUUGGGUGGUAGGGCACGUGGACUUGAAAGAGCGUCGCAUGACUGUAUAUGAUUCAGAUAAGGCUGGUAACCGAU